AAUUCUGCGCGAGCCUCUUGC
rnacentral:siRNA from 1 species